rnacentral:rRNA from 1 species
CCUACGGGAGGCAGCAGUGGGGAAUUUUGGACAAUGGGCGCAAGCCUGAUCCAGCCAUUCCGCGUGCAGGAUGAAGGCCCUCGGGUUGUAAACUGCUUUUGUACGGAACGAAACGCGCCGGGUUAAUACCUCGGCGUAAUGACGGUACCGUAAGAAUAAGCACCGGCUAACUACGUGCCAGCAGCCGCGGUAAUACGUAGGGUGCAAGCGUUAAUCGGAAUUACUGGGCGUAAAGCGUGCGCAGGCGGUGAUGUAAGACAGAUGUGAAAUCCCCGGGCUCAACCUGGGAACUGCAUUUGUGACUGCAUCGCUGGAGUGCGGCAGAGGGGGAUGGAAUUCCGCGUGUAGCAGUGAAAUGCGUAGAUAUGCGGAGGAACACCGAUGGCGAAGGCAAUCCCCUGGGCCUGCACUGACGCUCAUGCACGAAAGCGUGGGGAGCA